rnacentral:piRNA from 1 species
UACAAAUGGAAAGAGCAGGACUAGGACCAGA